rfam:Beta vulgaris subsp. vulgaris chromosome 1, whole genome shotgun sequence.
AGAUUGUGGUGUGGGUAUUCUCUAUACGGGUCCUUGAAACUAUUCCAUGCUUCCUUCAAUGUUUCAUCGGGUUCUUGUUGAAAGGUAGUAAGUUUAUGUCUCAAUUC